CUCUUUAUUUUAUAUUGGCAACAUUGAAGACACCUGAUGUUAACAAGCAGAAUAACUGAAGGAGAAAACCGUAAUUGUAAAGCCCAACUAAAACAAACACUGAUCACCAUAACGGUGAC